AUGACACAGGUGUAUUUGUGUUGGAGUUACAAAAUUAGGUCAAAUCAGGAUUUGAGUUAAUUUGUAAGAGAUCUCUUCUGUCCUUUUGGCAUAAUAUGGAUCAGUUUAAGAAAGAAGAAGAAGAAGAGUUGUUAGAGCCAGUGAGCCCUACUGCUCAAUGCUUCAACUCAUCUGCAUUGUCUAUUUCUGUUAUUGCUGUUUUGGAAUUUGAAAUUCCUAUUGAUGAAGUUCAAAUUAUGUGUUAUGCUAAGGAUCUCAUUCCUCUCAACCCCUUGUUUAGUUCUAUUAUGGUGGAUGAUAUAAACGGAGAGAGAAAAUGGAAGAAAGUUGAAGUGAAUCUUGAAGAACAUAUCUUAGUGCCAACAUUCCCCUCAAAUUUGUCAGUAGUUGAUGACAUCAAUUAUGAUGCAUAUUUCAAUAAAUAUAUUACAAAUUUGGGUGCCCAAGAGUUAGCCAAAAACAAACCCUUGUGGGAAAUUCAUAUCAUAAAGUAUCCAACAAGUAACGCAGCUGCUAAUUUAAUUCUCAAGUUUCACCAUUCACUUGGAGAUGGCUAUUCUGUGAUGGGCCUUCUUAUUUCAAGCAUGAAAAGGGCAGACAAUCCUUCUCUUCCCUUAACUUUUCCUUCAAGGAAAAUUAAUUCAGAUGAUCACAAUAAUAAAAAUUUAAGGCAUGUUUUAAAUUAUGUGCCUUCAUUUAUGAAUAGUGUUUUAGAUUUUGGAUGGAGCAUUAUCAAAAGCAGUGUUCUUGAAGAUGAUUUGACACCUAUAAGAUCUGGUGGUGAUGGUGUGGAGUUUAGGCCAGUUGCAAUAUGUACAAUCUCAUUCUCUCUUCAUCAAAUCAAACAAAUCAAAUCCAAACUUAGAGUGACAAUCAACGAUGUGAUCACAUGAAUAAUAUUUUUGGGAAUUCGAUUAUACAUGCAUGAGACUUGUCCCGAGUCAAUCCAAUCUAACUCAACAACAAUUGUUUUACUCAACACAAGGAUGUUUGGAAAUUACAAGUCUGUAGAAGAUAUGCUAAAACCCAACUCAAAUGCCCCAUGGGGGAAUCGCCUUGCCCUACUGCUUAUUGACAUUCCAAAACUCACUGAUUAUGAGCUUUCAAACCCAAUCCAAUUCAUCAAAGCCGCACAAAAGUUGAUCAAGAGGAAGAGAUAUUCUUAUGCUACUUUCCUCCUUGACAAGCUCAUGGAGAUGGUGCAUAAACUUAAAGGCCCAGAGGUAGCAGCCAAAUACAUGUACAAGAUGGUUAGAAAUUCAAGCUUAAGCAUAUCAAAUAUGAUCGGACCAAAGGAGAAAAUGGCUCUGCUUGGCCACCCGGCAAAAGGAGUCUACUUCAUCCUUUUUGGUAUACCUCAGAGUUUGAUAAUAACAAUGGUAAGCUACAUGGAAAAUUUGAGGAUUGCCUUUGGGAGUGAGAAAGAAUUUAUAGAUCAAGAGAAACUCACAUCUUGUAUGAAAACAGCUUUCGAGCAUAUGUAUAAGGCAGCUUCCGUUGAUGUUUCCAUUUAAAAAUUGUAUAUCAAUUGAAAGUUAUGAGAAUUGUUAUGGAUCAAAAUAUAGUAAAAAUAAACUUAAAUAAAUCAGAGAAGGUUUGAUGGAUA